UACGGGGGGGGCAAGCGUUGUUCGGAAUUACUGGGCGUAAAGGGCUCGUAGGCGGCCAACUAAGUCCGACGUGAAAUCCCAAGGCUUAACCUUGGAACUGCGUCGGAUACUGGAUGGCUUGAAUUCGGGAGAGGGAUGCAGAAUUCCGGGUGUAGCGGUGAAAUGCGUAGAUAUCCGGAGGAACACCGAUGGCGAAGGCAGGUCUCUGGGCAUUAACUGACGCUGAGGAGCGAAAGCAUGGGGAGCGAACAGG
rnacentral:rRNA from 1 species